AUUGAACGCUGGCGGCAGGCCUAACACAUGCAAGUCGAACGGUAACAGGAAGCAGCUUGCUGCUUCGCUGACGCGAGGCGGGGGGGUGAGAAAUGUCUGGGAGACUGUCUGAUUUAGGGGGAGAACUACUGGAAACGGUAACUCAAACCGCAUAACGUCGCAAGACCAAAGAGCGGGACCUUAUGGCCCCUUGCCAGCGUAUAUGCCCAGAUGGGAUUAGCUAGUUGGCGGGGUAACGGCGCACCCAGGCGACGAUCCCUAGCUGGUCUGAGAGGAUGAUCAGCCACACUGGAACUGAGACACGGUCCAGACUCCUACGGGAGGCAGCAGUGGGGAAUAUUGGACAAUGGGCGCAAGCCUGAUGCAGCCAUGCCGCGUGGAUGAAGAAGGCCUUCGGGUUGUAAAGUCCUUUUGUCGGGGAAGAAGAGCGUCAAGUUAAUACCCCUGCGUAUUGACGGUACCCGAAGAAUAAGCACCGGCUAACUUCGUG
rnacentral:rRNA from 1 species